UACGUAGGGUGCAAGCGUUAAUCGGAAUUACUGGGCGUAAAGCGUGCGCAGGCGGUUUCACAAGCUCGAUGUGAAAGCCCCGGGCUUAACCCUGGGAAUGGCAUUGAGGACUGUGGAGCUCGAGUGCGGCAGAGGGAGGUGGGAAUUCCACGUGUAGCAGUGAAAUGCGUAGAGAUGUGGAGGAACACCGAUGGCGAAGGCAGCCUCCUGGGCCGACACUGACGCUCAUGCACGAAGCGUGGGA
rnacentral:rRNA from 1 species